UCACUUGCACACGGAAACUACUGCUCCAUUCUUGAUUUUGUCUCCAUGGUUGUGGGUCCACUCAGCCUUCCGUCUCAGGGCAUGGUUGCCAAAGCGAUGUUUUGGGCUUCCUUGAUAACUUUAUGAUGAAAUUUGGGUUUGAAGAAUAUAACCUCUAAUUAUUAUUAUUAUAUAUUUUUUUUUGACGCAGCUCCGGAAGUGGCGGUAGAGCUUGAGAUGUAAGACUCUAAACUCAAGACCAUAGUUGCUGGCUUUCUCCAAGGGUUCUCAACAAAACAAAAAACCCAAGCGGAAAAGUUGUCGGUGGCUCCAGCGGAACCGUCGCUAGAGAAAAACGUAGACACCUUUGACCAACGCACCUCCAUCUAUUGUGGCUUCACUAGGAAUUUUUCCUCAAUCUCAGUUUGGUGGGUGGUUGACGGCGAGAUGGGGUUGAGCGAGGCUGAGCUUCCCUUCGAGUGGUUUGCUUUGUGUUUGUCGUGUAGUAGUUGGCCGUGCAUGGAGACUUUGGUUUGGUAGUAGAGGAACUCGUCUUAUGCCUUGUUUGAUCUGGGGCUUUAAACAUUGGAUUUGAGCUUGAUUUUGUGGAAGUUUCAAUUUUUGGAUGUUGGAUUUCAAUUUCAAUUAAUCUCAAUUUCAGUCGUCUCCGUGUUUGGUUUUUGUUUUUACUCAUGCAUGUGUAUUAUGUAUUUCAUGAUGAUGUAGAAAUUAGAACAUGUUGAACUGGGAGGAGAAGAAGCAUAAACCAUACCCACGGAAUGUGGAGACUCAGAAGGAUGAAGAGAAAUUCCAGAUGCAACAAAAAUUUUGUGUGAAAAAGUGAGGGAUAGAGAGGACGAAGGAAACUAUAAAUAUCCAAAGAUUUCAGUCUAGAACGUUGACUAAGAUUUCGACUAUGUUGACUAAGAUGAAAUGCACAAAUGGGUUUGUUUGAGUGUUGCUCACUUUGCUUAUAGCAAUGACGUUUCAAAUUUGUUAGCUGGUAGCUAGAGAACUCUAAAUGAAUCCUGUGAGCAUAAGUUAGUGUGGUUCCCAUUUGCUCCAUUGCCACUUAAAUUAAUUCCCUUUGAUUUGUACUAAUUAACUAAGACUUUCUAUUUUAUUCUAUUUUCAGAAUUCUUGAAGCAUGCUAGGAAUCUAACUUUAUAUAUCUAGGUAUAGGAAAAUCAUGCACACUACUAGCUAGCUAGUUGGGUGCCCAAGUUGGUAAGUUAACAUUCCAAUUUACACUAAUCCAGGUUGAAGUAUCAUUUUAUAUGAGACGUAGUUUAACGUAUAUAUGUUAGAGAUCACAACCAUGGCUUUCUACUUUAUGGAGUCUUUUUUAUUUGCUUUUUUGUUUUUGUUUUUUUUUUCCCUUCCUAGUUUUACAUUCUUAUUCUUCCUUCAUGUGGCUGAGCUAUCUUUUGAAUUUUUUGAAGGUUAACUUGUCAUGAUGCAACCUCUUUUGGGACAUGACCUUUAGCAGAUUUAGACUAAGCUGUUUUAGUCUCACACUUGUUGUAAUACUUGCUUACUAUUUGCCUUGAUAUAGGGAUGUAUGUGAUGUGGUUCCGAAUUGGUUCUUCCAAGUGUAGAUUUUUCAGGUUGUAUCAAGGAUAAAUCCCACUUGAUUGUAUUCCAUGGGGACAAAGAUUAUAUAAAAACAGAGUGUAUGAAAGCUCUUCGCAAUCUAAUUUUAAAGGUGAGCUAUAAGCAUAUCUAUGCUUGAGUCCAAAUGUAGUUGAUGAAGUUUCAAUUUCAUUUGCACGACUUUUGAAUGCAAAGAAUCUUGAAAACAAUAAAAAGGUUUUGUAGCUUGCAAAGAAUCUUAUGUUUGGACACUUCUCUUUAGUCUGGUUCCGAUUACAUUUUUGCCCCCCACUUCGAAUUGUAAGGCCAUCAUCUCCCUCUCUGAAAGAUGAAAGAGAAGCUUAUUAACCCUUGAAAUCCUUAAAAAAUCUGGCCCGACAAGCCCCAUAAUACAAUCACAUUGAACCAUUCCUUUGAAAUACCCAAAUCCUUUAUUUUUUAUUUUUGGGCCUCACACCUGGUGCAUGUAAUACUUGCCAUAUUUGGCUUCAUAUGGGGACAUGUGGCUUCUAAUCUCACUUUACACAUACUUGGGAAUACAAGUGAAUUGGGGUCUUUAUAUCUUUCUUUGUUCAUAUCUGCAACUUUUUGUGUGUUCUUUUUUUUUUUCCUCUUUUGUGUUGCCUACAAUUUUCUUGCCCUAUUGGUGAUUCCACAUAAUGCUCCUAUUGUAUAUUGAUUGCUAUGAUGCAAGUAUUGAUUCUAUUUUGCAGAGAAAGGUCCAUGGAUCUUGUCUUCAGAUGAGUGGGUAGAGUUAUUGGUAAAUCCAUUAUUGUCUAAAAGACCAUUAUUGUUCAAGAGGAGGUAUGAAUCUUUUUGCUACUACAUGGUUUGAAGAGCUUGAUUGUAGUACUGAGGCUUCUCAAAGAGAAGAUUUCAGAUAUCAAUAGGCAUUUCUUUGCUCAACCAUCCCAUACUAACUUGCAAGUUGCAGCUGUUAUGAUCUAUAUGCAAAAAUCUGUUUUGAGUACUAGUAUUUAAGUUAGUUUUUCUAGUCACGGCACAUCCAACUAUAUGCUUAUGGGAUGGUGAUGCAAAGAAGAAGAUUGUUGGACUAAA